AUUGAACGCUGGCGGCAGGCCUACCACAUGCAAGUCGACUUAGUGGCGGACGGGUGCGUAAUGUCUGGGAAACUGCCUGAUGGAGGGGGAUAACUACUGGAAACGGUAGCUAAUACCGCAUACCCUCAGAUUGGCCCAGAUGGGAUUAGCUAGUUGGUGGGGUGACUGCUCACCCUGGCGACGAUCCCUAGCGGGUCUGAGAGGCUGACCAGGCACAGUUGAACUGAGACACGGUCCAGACUCCGAUGGGAGGCAGCAGUGGGGAAUAUUGCACAUUGGGCGCAAGUCUGAUGCAGCGAUGUUGCGUGUAUGAAGAGGGCCUUCGGGUUGUAAAGUACUUUCAGCGGGGAGGCGUUACCCGCAGAAGAAGCACCGGCGAACUCCGGGCCAGAAGCCGCGGUAAUAC
rnacentral:rRNA from 1 species